AAAAGCGGGGUUUCCGUAACUCUACGGGAUGGGCCCUCGGACUUUUGSUGAGUUGGGGAGGUUACGGCUUACCAAGGCGACGAUGCGUAGCCGACCUGAGAGGGUGAUCGGCCACACUGGGACUGAGACACGGCCCAGACUCCUACGGGAGGCAGCAGUAGGGAAUCUUCCGCAAUGGACGAAAGUCUGACGGAGCAACGCCGCGUGAGCGAUGAAGGCCUUCGGGUCGUAAAGCUCUGUUGUUAGGGAAGAACAAGUGCUAUUCGAAUAGGGUGGCACCUUGACGGUACCUAACGAGAAAGCCACGGCUAACUACGUGCCAGCAGCCGCGGUAAUACGUAGGUGGCAAGCGUUGUCCGGAAUUAUUGGGCGUAAAGCGCGCGCAGGCGGUCUCUUAAGUCUGAUGUGAAAGCCCACGGCUCAACCGUGGAGGGUCAUUGGAAACUGGGAGACUUGAGUACAGAAGAGGGAGAGUGGGAAUUCCAUG
rnacentral:rRNA from 1 species